rnacentral:rRNA from 1 species
AACGAACGCUGGCGGCAUGCCUAACACAUGCAAGUCGAACGAGACCUUCGGGUCUAGUGGCGCACGGGUGCGCAACGCGUGGGAACCUGCCCUUAGGUUCGGAAUAACUCCCCGAAAGGGGUGCUAAUACCGGAUAAUGUCUUCGGACCAAAGAUUUAUCGCCUUUGGAUGGGCCCGCGUUGGAUUAGCUAGUUGGUAGGGUAAAAGCCUACCAAGGCGACGAUCCAUAGCUGGUCUGAGAGGAUGAUCAGCCGCACUGGGACUGAGACACGGCCCAGACUCCUACGGGAGGCAGCAGUGGGGAAUAUUGGACAAUGGGCGAAAGCCUGAUCCAGCAAUGCCGCGUGAGUGAUGAAGGCCUUAGGGUUGUAAAGCUCUUUUACCCGGGAUGAUAAUGACAGUACCGGGAGAAUAAGCUCCGGCUAACUCCGUG